rnacentral:pre_miRNA from 1 species
UCCCUGAGACCCUAACUCGUGAGAGGUCAGGUUGCUUGUUGACCACGAGCUGGGGUCGCAGGAAGC